rnacentral:rRNA from 1 species
AUAGUUCAGCACUAAGUCACUUUGUCUUUAUGGCAAAUGUGAGAUGCAGUGUAUGGAAUGUCAAAUUUCUAGUAUGAGAAAUUAACGAUUUAAGUCCUUCUUAAAUGAGGCCAUUUACCCAUAGAGGGUGCCAGGCCCGUAUAACGUUAAUGAUUACUAGAUGGCAUUUCCAAAGAGUCGUGUUGCUUGAUAGUGCAGCACUAAGUGGGUGGUAAACUCCAUCUAAAACUAAAUAUAACCAUGAGACCGAUAGUAAACAAGUACCGUGAGGGAAAGUUGAAAAGAACUCUGAAUAGAGAGUUAAAUAGUACGUGAAACUGCUUAGAGGUUAAGCCCGAUGAACCUGAAUAUCCGUUAUGGAAAAUUCAUCAUUAUGAUUUUAAUAUUUAUAAUAUUAUAAUAAUGGUGUGCAUUUUUUCUAUAAAGGACAUUGUAAUCUAUUAACAUAAAAAAUUUAUCAUAAGAUCGACUGCGAAAGUAUAUUCGAAUUAUUUUGCUUGCAAUUUAACAGAGAAUAUAUGCUAUCGAUUUGAUAAAGUGUUGAUAGAUUUAUUAUAUAUAGUGCUUAAAUAUAUUAUAUAUUUUAUAAUAGCAUAUUAAUCAUUGAUUUUUAUGUUUAUUAUAUGCACUUAUAUGAUUAACAAUGCGAAAGAUUCAGGAUACCUUCGGGACCCGUCUUGAAACACGGACCAAGGAGUCUAACAUAUUUGCAAGUUAUUGGGAAUAAAAACCUAAUAGCGAAAUUAACAUAACUUAUAUUUAAAUGGGAUUAGUUUUUAGCCUAUUUAUAGUCUAUUAAUUCAAUCCCGGGGCGUUCUAUACAGUUAUGUAUAAUAGUAUUUAUACUAUUUAUACCUCUAACUAGAGCGUACCUUGAGCAUAUAUGCUGUGACCCGAAAGAUGGUGAACUAUACUUGAUCAGGUUGAAGUCAGGGGAAACCCUGAUGGAAGACCGAAACAGUU